CCUACGGGUGGCAGCAGUGGGGGAUAUUGCACAAUGGGGGGAACCCUGAUGCAGCGACGCCGCGUGAGCGAAGAAGUACCUCGGUAUGUAAAGCUCUAUCAGCAGGGAAGAAAAUGACGGUACCUGACUAAGAAGCCCCGGCUAAAUACGUGCCAGCAGCCGCGGUAAUACGUAUGGGGCAAGCGUUAUCCGGAUUUACUGGGUGUAAAGGGAGCGCAGGCGGCCUGCCAAGUCUGGUGUGAAAACCCGGGGCCCAACCCCGGGCCUGCAUUGGAAACUGGCGGGCUGGAGUGUCGGAGGGGCAGGCGGAAUUCCUAGUGUAGCGGUGAAAUGCGUAGAUAUUAGGAGGAACACCGGUGGCGUAGGCAGGUUGCUGGGACGGUUCUGACACUAAGGCACGAAAGCGUAGGGAGCAAACGGGAUUAGAUACCCGAGUAGUC
rnacentral:rRNA from 1 species